rnacentral:rRNA from 1 species
CCUACGGGAGACAGCAGUGGGGAAUAUUGCACAAUGGGGGAAACCCUGAUGCAGCGACGCCGCGUGAGUGAAGAAGUAUUUCGGUACGUAAAGCUCUAUCAGCAGGGAAGAAAAUGACGGUACCUGACUAAGAAGCCCCGGCUAACUACGUGCCAGCAGCCGCGGUAAUACGUAGGGGGCAAGCGUUAUCCGGAUUUACUGGGUGUAAAGGGAGCGUAGACGGCAGCGCAAGUCUGGAGUGAAAUCCCAUGGCUUAACCAUGGAACUGCUUUGGAAACUGUGCAGCUAGAGUGCAGGAGAGGUAAGCGGAAUUCCGAGUGUAGCGGUGAAAUGCGUAGAUAUUAGGAGGAACACCAGUGGCGAAGGCGGCUUACUGGACUGUAACUGACGUUGAGGCUCGAAAGCGUGGGGAGCAAACAGGAUUAGAUACCCGAGUAGUC